UCCGCCAUGGCUGAAACGAAGUGGCCGGGCUGCGCCGGGGGCUUGAAGGCUGUGGUGCUGGACAUGUGCGGGGUCCUGUACGACAGCGAGCCGGGGAGGACCGUUGCCAUCCCGGGCUCCGUUGAAGCUGUGAACAGGCUCAUGUCUUCGGACCUGCAGCUGCGCUUCUGCACCAACGAGACUCAGUCCUCCAGGGACAAGUUCGUGGCCAUGCUGCAGACAGCGGGCUUUGACAUUUCCGUGUCCCAGAUCUUCUCUCCUGCCCCCGCUGCUGUCGCUGUCCUCAACGAGAGGGGGCUCCGGCCUCACCUGCUGGUGCAUGAUGGAGUUCUCAGCGAGUUUGACAGUGUGGACAAGACCGACCCAAACUGUGUGGUCAUCGGAGACGCAGCCGAGAAAUUCUCCUACCAAAACCUGAACGAUGCAUUCAGGGUCCUCACAGGCCUGGAGAAGCCACUGCUGUUCUCUCUGGGCCAAGGGAGGUACUACAAGGAGACAAAUGGUUUGUCAUUAGACGUCGGGGUUUACAUGAAGGCUUUGGAGUACGCCUGUGAACUAAAGGCUGAAGUCAUUGGAAAGCCAUCCCCAAGGUUCUUCCAGAGUGUUCUCAAUGACAUGGGGCUUCAACCGCAUGAGGUGCUGAUGAUCGGGGACGAUCUGGUGAACGACGUAGGUGGGGCGCAGAACUGUGGAAUGAAAGGCAUACAAGUCAGGACUGGAAAAUACAGAAAGUCGGGGACGCGGUGUGAUCGCCGGUGACGGAGACAGAGAGAACAAGCACCACCCUGGAGGGGCUUUCGGCAGCUCAGCUCCACCGACACCUUGAAGUGCGGAGAUAAGCAGCACAGCAAAGAACCCACACGGAGAAGUUCAACUUGCUGUUGAUCAUAAGCCCAGCGAUGAGAAGCACCUGACGGUGACGGCCGACGGCACCGUGGACAACCUGAGCCAGGCUGUGGACAUGAUCCUCAGUCAGAGGGGAGGCUGAGCGCGAGGCAACAGAUACCAGAGGCUCUGCACUCACUGUGAGGCCUCCGGGAUACAGGCUCGUGCACUGUAGCAUAUUCAUGUAGCUCUAACUUGAUACUACUGUCCAAACACUGUAACCAACUGUAAUGUGAAAUAUGGAAAACACCCGCCCAGCUGCUGCUACACGUCGUGUUUCUAGAUUAAAGUUUGCAGAAGUGUAACCCAGGUCUGUGCCGUGCAUUUGUCAGUGUAGCGCUGGCACAGAUAAGAUACCACAGCUUGACAUGGAUCGGCUGUAACCAGCUGCUGACUGACGGUUAGAGGGGAAAGUUUCACUUUGUGUUCAGACGCUGAUGUUACAGAGUCACUGUACAUGGAGUCAACAAAUUAAAGCAGUAUUUCGGGCUCUGUAAAGAGUUGCACAUUAUAGCUGAGGAGCGGGGGAGUUGUCAGUUACGUUUGAUUUGGUAAUUUUUAAUAAAGUUAUUUUACUACCAGUC